AUGCGCGUCAUCAUAGACGGAGGGAGCUGCAACAACUUGGUGCCUUCCUCUUUGCCUCCUGCUGUCACUAACAUUUUGCAGGAGUUCGCUGAUGUCUUUCCACAAGACGUGCCACCGGGAUUACCGCCUAUUCGAGGGAUUGAGCAUCAGAUUGACUUAAUUCCCGGUGCUUCACUGCCAAACCGUGCACCAUACCGAACCAAUCCAGAGGAGACGAAGGAGAUUAUGCGCCAAGUACAAGAGCUUCUCGACAAAGGAGGCAUUAAUAAUAUUACUAUUCGUUAUCGUCAUCCUAUUCCUAGGCUAGAUGAUAUGCUUGAUGAAUUGAGUGGCUCUACUAUAUUCUCCAAAGUUGAUUUGCGUAGUGGCUACCAUCAAAUUCGUAUGAAAUUGGGAGAUGAAUGGAAAACAGCAUUUAAAACUAAGUUUGGAUUAUAUGAGUGGUUAGUCAUGCCUUUUGGGUUAACUAAUGCACCUAGUACUUUCAUGAGAUUAAUGAACGAAGUUUUACGUGCUUUCAUUGGACGAUUUGUGGUAGUUUACUUUGAUGACAUACUGAUUUAUAGCAGAUCUUUGAAAGAACAUUUGGAACAUUUACGUGCUGUUUUUAUUGCUCUACGUGAUGCAUGUUUGUUUGGUAACCUUGGGAAGUGCACCUUUUGCACCGACCGAGUAUCUUUUCUUGGCUAUGUUGUUACUCCACAGGGAAUUGAAGUUGACAAAGCCAAGAUUGAAGCUAUUGAGAGUUGGCCGCAGCCCAAAACGGUCACACAAGUGAGGAGUUUUCUUGGCCUCGCUGGAUUCUAUAGGCGUUUUGUGAGAGAUUUCAGCACCAUUGCUGCACCUCUCAACGAGCUUACAAAGAAGGAUGUGCCUUUUGUUUGGGGUACCGCACAGGAAGAAGCCUUCACGGUAUUGAAAGAUAAGUUGACACAUGCUCCUUUACUCCAACUUCCUGAUUUUAAUAAGACUUUUGAGCUUGAAUGUGAUGCUAGUGGAAUUGGGUUAGGAGGUGUGUUAUUACAAGAUGGCAAACCUGUUGCAUACUUUUCUGAAAAAUUGAGUGGGCCUAGUCUGAAUUAUUCUACUUAUGAUAAAGAAUUAUAUGCUCUUGUUCGGACUUUAGAAACAUGGCAACAUUAUUUAUGGCCCAAAGAAUUUGUUAUACAUUCUGAUCAUGAAUCUUUGAAACAUAUUAAAAGUCAAGCUAAACUGAAUCGUAGACAUGCUAAAUGGGUUGAAUUCAUUGAGACUUUCCCUUAUGUCAUUAAACACAAGAAGGGAAAAGAAAAUGUUAUUGCUGAUGCAUUGUCUCGUCGCUAUACUAUGCUUUCACAACUUGACUUCAAAAUAUUUGGUUUGGAGACCAUCAAAGAUCAAUAUGUGCAUGAUGCUGAUUUUAAAGAUGUAAUGCAGAAUUGUAAAGAGGGAAGAAUGUGGAACAAGUUUGUCGUUAACGAUGGAUUUGUGUUUCGUGCUAACAAGCUAUGCAUUCCAGCUAGCUCCGUUCGUCUUUUGUUGUUGCAGGAGGCGCAUGGAGGAGGAUUAAUGGGACACUUUGGCGUGAAGAAGACGGAGGACGUACUUGCUACACAUUUCUUUUGGCCAAAGAUGAGACGGGAUGUUGAGCGGCUGUUUUGA
rnacentral:rRNA from 1 species